UGCAUGAAGUCGGAAUUGCUAGUAAUUGCGGAUCAGCAUGCCGCGGUGAAUACGUUCCCGGGCCUUGUACACACCGCCCGUCACACCAUGGGAGCCGGUAAUACCCGAAGUCAGUAGUCCAACCACGUGAGGACGCUGCCGAAGGUAGGAUUGGCGACUGGGGUGAAGUCGUAACAAGGUAGC
rnacentral:rRNA from 1 species